rnacentral:rRNA from 1 species
UACGAAGGGGGCUAGCGUUGCUCGGAAUCACUGGGCGUAAAGGGUGCGUAGGCGGGUCUUUUAAGUCAGGGGUGAAAUCCUGGAGCUCAACUCCAGAACUGCCUUUGAUACUGAAGAUCUUGAGUUCGGGAGAGGUGAGUGGAACUGCGAGUGUAGAGGUGAAAUUCGUAGAUAUUCGCAAGAACACCAGUGGCGAAGGCGGCUCACUGGCCCGAGUACUGACGCUGAGGCACGAAAGCGUGGGGAAGCAAACAGGGAG